UAAAUUGAUGUUCAUUGAAAAAGAACCUAGAUCCUUAUAACGUUGAGCAGAAACAUGGGAACUGAAAUAAUAUGAUUCAUGAUUGGGAGAUGGUCAACAUCAAAUUCUAUAUAAGCAAAUAUAUUACCUUUAAGAUGCACUAAAAUUGCACCUGAGAUGUCAUUGAACCCCAAAUUCAACACUUUCAGAGAUUGCAUCUCUGUGAAGAGAACAAGAGACCAAAACAUUAAAUUCGUCUUUCAAGUAGAAAUCUAGAAAGAAUGUGUACAAUCCUUUUCCUUAUAGAUUUAAUUCAUUAUAUCUAGAAAUCUCACUUGAAAAGUUUUCACAUCCAUUGUCCAUCAAAUAACAUCUGCUAAGGUUUAAAUAUUGUAAUGCACCAAGAACUGCAAUAAACAGAAAACAUAUCAAUACAGAUGAUGCACUGGAGACACUUAUAGAAAAUAUGUCGAUAAAAAUAUUGAAGCCCAGAUAUUCAAGAAUUGUAUAUCAUUUUAGAUAUCACAAGGAAUCAGGGAAGCAGAUUCUCAACAAUAUAUUCUCGAGGAAGCAGGUUAUAUAGCCAAAAGAGUAUAAUUAAGCAGAACAUUUGCCUGAAAGUGACUCCAAGCAUGCAGCAGUGACAGGGCAACCCUCCAUGUUCAAAAGAAUGAGAUUCUUCAAGUCUGCAAGAAAAUCAUUGAAAGAUUACAAAACUUAUCUGCCGGUGAUAUCUCAGGACACGGGGCCUCAGUAGCUUAGCUGGGUAAUUUUCUUUCUUAUCCUACCACUCGACUCCCUUCACAACAAUACGGUGGUACAUAAAUCACUACCAUUCUUUAAGUCACAAAAUAGUAUUUUUUUUGGGGGGACAGAAUAUCAACUAUAGCAUUUAUUACAACACACUAAUGUGAUAAACACUUCUCAGUUCUCACCAUUGAAGCACAGUGCCAUUAACGGUCCAGAAGAAGGUCCAAAACUAUAUAUUUUAACCACCCUUCAAACAAACAAAUCAGCUUGAGAAAAUAAACAAGAUCCAUAGUGUCUUAUAUAUUUUUCAUGUUCAAAUUUCUUUUGCUGAGCACCAUAGGAACAAAUAAAAUCCUUUCCAUAAAAUCAGUUAAACUACCUUUUAGAAAGGCUACACCAUUAUCAGUAACCUUACUGGAUGCAAUUUGUAAUGACUUCAAGCUUGUCAGGCCUGAAACAAAAAGAGAAUUGGUUAACCAAUGUAGCAUAAUGCACUCCGGUUAACAUAAUUUCAUAUGUCAAUGAAAAUCUUAACAUUCAAGGAUUUAAUAUAUGAUCUUUACUAACAUCUUAAAUACUUAAGAAUGUUACCCAGCUUUUGAAAGUCAAUGAAUCAGAAAGAGGAGAUCAGCUAACUACCUGAGAUAGCCUUCAUAUCAGCAUCGGUGAUGCAAUUACAACAGUUGACAUUCAGCAUUUCAAGCUUUGCGAGUCCUGCAAACAAAUGGUAAGAUAGACCAGACAAACAUUACAGGGCAUUUAAAGGCAAUUCAAACAACAUCCAAUACAUCAACUGCAGUUCCAGAACAAUCCUGGCGCCAAUGCAAUAGUAUAACCAUAUUGAUAUUGAUAGCUACUUCCAAUCACCAAGAUUUCUUCCUAGAGAUUUGACUGAUGCCACCCAACCUUGCCACCCAAACCAGAAAACAUAAAACCUAUAUAAGAUGGCUCUGUUCUGUGACAUAGCAGUUCCCACAGUUAUCUAUCUGAUACAUUGAGAACUUUUUGACGAACGGAAAAGGAGAACUAAUGUUGGAUGGAUAAAAAGACAAAAAAGGAUUUGAAAGAGAACAAAUCAGAGGACUGCAAAGCCCACCAUCUGCAAUCUGCUAAUGAAACUCCCCCUCUAGGUGUUCUGAUAACAAGCAUGCUUCAAAUUUCAGUAUCUCUAAGGUAAUGGAGAAUAUGAAGCUCCGUGAUAGGGAGUUGAAAGAAGAGAAAAAAGUAACUGGUGCAUUAUGAAGAUGAGGAAUGCGAUAAAGAAUAUAAAGCUGUGAUAACUGAUAAGGUCGUCCCCCACCCAAGCAUCCUUCCAAAACCUCACCUUAUUUUUGCCUCAGACUUAGACUUUUGUUAAUUGAAUGAAGUUUGGUAAGCCAUAGAAAUGAAUUUCCAUGAACUUCUGCAUAUAGUCUAACAGCUAAACCUCCAUCUUAUUUUUUUUCUUGCAUGCUGCAAUUGCUCGUAAUGACCCUGCCCCAGAGAGAAUCAUUUUCGGAUAGAAACCUCCCGUACCAUUAAUAUGCGUUAAUUUCUCUAGCAGAUGUUACAAAUGCCCAGACCUUCAUUCUCUCUACGACGAACCACCACGUUCCAUGAGACAAGGGGAGUGUGAAUAUAUCCAUCAGGACCAUUCUAGAGGAUGUCUCUUAUUUUUCUUUCUAUAAGGCUAGUGAUCCUUCGUACGUGAAUAAUGACAAGUAGUUUGCAAAAUUACUUGAAAGAGAGAGAAUAUUACUUCCUUCAUGAAUUAGCAAAUGAAGUAGCUUGGAAUGCCUCUAAGCCCAUGCAUGAUCUAGAAAUUACUUCACCAUCAAAAAUAGCUCAUAAAAUACAAACCUUUUAGGUGAGCAAGUCCUCCAUGGAUCCUUGGACAUCUCUCCAGAUCCAACUUUAUCAACUUGAUUAAGCCAGACAAAGAACUUAUCCCUUGGGCAGUAAUCAAGUUGUUUCUUUUAAAACUAAGAGUAGUCAGGUUUGACAGACCUACAAGGUUGAAUAACAAGCACAAAUUAGAUCAUAACUUAGGACUAAAUUACAGUUCCCAACAACAUCGCCACCCACAAUGUACUCCCAAGGCUUUCGGUGGGAUUAGCUAUUCCUCAAGUAGACAAAACUUAAACCUCAGAAAUGUUCUUUUCACAUUCAGCAAUACAACUGAAUGCCAGAAAGCAACCAGAUACCCUAACAGCACAUUUUAUACUUAGAUACAAGUUCAGGAGAAAAUAGCCAAAUACAUUUCCAUAGUCAUCACGAAAUGAGUUCAUUGCAACAAAGAUACAGCAACCAGUAGCUGGGACAUCUUUCCCCAAGAAGACCAUUUUAUAUAAGUCAGACAACACUCAAACACCUCUACAUCAUACAAAAUGGAUUAAGAUGCGAAGCUGCAAGGGAAUCAUAACUCAAAAUUCAAUCUGUAACAUAGGAGGCACUCUUUGAAAAUAAAACCAAGUUAAAUAAAUAUAUUAAGAUGAAAAGAAUAUCAGGACACUAACAUCAACAAAUUACUAAGUAUGCUUGUAUGUUGUCAAAGUGGACAAAUCACAGUCUAAAAGCAUUGUCAAAAUCAUUAAGUCAAUUACGAUAGUCUUACCAUUGAUCUGUUCAAGACCCUUGUCCGAAAUCUGAUCACAAUAAUUGAGAUUCAAGGCCUGAAGACUCGUGCACUCUUUGAGAUAAGUUAACCCAGAGUCAGUAACAUCCGAACCCGAAAGAUCCACAGAGAGCAAAGACGAACUCUGAGAAGAUACAAUGUCCAUCCAACCGUCAUCAACUCCUGGGUACUCUCCCAAAUUAAGAUCCUGCAGAAAACAGCAACAGCUCUUACAAGACAAUCUACCACUACACACUACCGCAGCUUAUGACCCGCCCCUUGAUCAAAUAAAUCUUUUAACAAUACCUGAAGAGCACAUUCCCGAAAAGCUUCAAGUAAAGUAUCAGUCAGGCAUUGAGAACAGACCAAAUCAUCAAAAAUCUGCUGACUUAUAUCCCUUGGCAGCAUGGAGAAGGUGCUAUAUUUGUUUAUGUCCUUCAUUGAAGAAAAUUGCUUAUGAAUAAGCUUAAGAGAGCUUUAGCUUUAUCUCCGAAAUAGUGGAAUACUAGAAAAGUAUGCAUUCUGAACAUACCUCCCUAAUUUUGUAUAUGCACAAAUCCAUAAGCGUCGGGCAUCUUUGUUUCCCUUGGCUAGCAUCCAUAGAAGCUCUAAGAAAUGAGGUCCCAAGCCAUUUUGAGCUCCCACUUUUAGUAUAUCGCCCGGAUACUCCUCUGUUGAGGUUAUCGUCGUUAGCCUGUUGAUCACGCUUUCUUGAACAGGCUCCCCCCAUUUACAGCAGUAUUCUUAUCUAAGAUAUCACAAAAGCAGCAGUGAAACAGUGCAAUUUCCCAUUUAUUACGAAUGUCAGGGGUACAAGCGGAAUACGACCCUGCCAACAGCAGAAGAUGUCAUUAAAAUUUUAACAAAAUUUGCCAUAUGAUUUCGUGAAUCAAACCCUCCUAAUAUGCUUCAGCAGUUAAUUUUUCUCACUAAAAUAUGCAUACUGACCCCAGAGCAAUUAUAAAUUCUAGGACUUAAGCAGAUGCCAUGACAUAAACACACUCAAUCACGGAUAAACCAAAAUUGGGAAAGGAAAACAAAGCAUAAAAACGCAAGUAUACGUUCUUUCUCUGCAUAAAAAUUAGAUUACAAAGAAAAAUAUAUGACGUCGAAAAUACCAACUGUAACAAGUAUACGUUCUUUCUCUGCAUAAAAUCACCGUAGCUAAGACUGAUAGUCUCUGGCAAAUGAUCUUGAAAGGAUAUGAAAAACAGAAGGCACGCACACAAAUAGAGAAAAGGACGGAUUUUUUUACUUAAAAAUACGCACACAUGAUUCAACGCAUGAUCAAGCAUCUCCGUCCCAAUAAUUCGUCACGAUCACCGAAACACAAAAUCCGAACCGUCGUCAAUUGACACCAUUUAUAGAUGACGCAGAAAAGGUUCGAACACACACAGUAGCAUCACCAAGAGGCCGAAGUGCGCAUGCGAAAGAGAAAAGGAAUUGCUGAAAAGUACCUUAAUAUCUCCAUCGAAGCAUCACCAGUCUAGAAAUGUACAGUAUAGAGAGAGAGAGAGUGAGAGUAGCAGAGGAAGAAGAUAGAGAGGAGAAGAAGCGUACAAGAAGAGGAGAGAGAGAGUGGCGCAGCCUCGUCCGAGCCAGGAUCCGAGCCAAGCGAUCGCCGCCACGUGGUGGGGAGGUGUCAGGAUCUCUGCUUCGGGUGAAAAAUGAUGGCGAGAUAAGAAGGGGUUUGAUUUUAGUGUAUCGGUCCCACUGCCUUCGAUUAGAUAUUACUCCCUCCGUCCCAUUAAAGUUGGCAACAUUUCUAUUUUGGGUGUCCCAUUAAAGUUUGCCACUUUCUAAAAAUGACAAAAGUUUACUUUAAUUAAGUCAACAAUUACUCACUAAUUUGGUCAACAAUCGUAGGCAACUUUCUAAAAAAGCCAAAAUUACUUUAAUUAAGUCAACAAUUACUCACUAAUUUGGUCAACAAUUAUAAGCCACACUUUAUUAAAACAUAUAACACUCAAUUUCUUAAUCUCCGUGCCGAAACGAAUGUUGCCAACUUUAGCGGGACGGAGGGAGUAAUUUUUUAUAUUUUAAAAUUGUACGAUUAGCUUUUUUUUUUUUUUUUGAGAACCACAGUACGAUUAGCUUUGCUUUAUCCAUUCUAUGGGUGUUAGUAUUAGUUAAGGGGGCCCACUUCAAAUGGAAGAUUUUGUACGCAAUCUCUAUCUGCGGCUGCCUAAUCCAUUUUUUGUGCUGAAUGAAAUGAAUGGAGUGUUGCGUCGGCUUUAAUAUCAUAGUACUAAUCAUCAUGAUACAGAUGCUACUUCCCUUCAAUAUAUAAUACUCCCUCCGUCCGCCAAAAUUAUGGCAUUUUGCUUGGGCACGGGAUUUAAUAAAGUGUUGACUUAGUGACUAAAUGGUCCCAUGAAAUUCGACCCGAAUUAUUUUAUGUCAUCAUUUAUAAUUAUUUUAUAUUAUAUUUAUUACUAUAACAUAAGAAAUAGUUUAUACAUAAAUUAUUUCUUUAAUUAAUUUGAUAUAAUCAAAUUAAAUUAGUAAUACAAUAUUUGAAAUAAUAUUAAUCUUAAUCACUUUCGCCAAUUAAAUAGGUUGUAAUAAUAGAAAUACACUUUAUAUAAAUAUCCAUUUGAUGAAGUUUAUAAAAAGUUGAUGUAGGAUUGAAUAUUUUAGAUGAAAAAAAUAUGUAAAUUUGAAGUAUGAUAUGAUAAACGAUUGAUGUGUCGCAUCUGCUAUUAAUCGUACAUCGAUAGUAUUUACACUCUUCGUCCCUCAAACAUUUUUCCUUUUUUUUUCUUUUCCUUUUUUUCCUAUUUUGGUUCGUCUCCAAAACAUCUUCCUAACCUAUUUUUAGAAACAAUUUCAUUAAUUAUUAUUCUUACAAUUUCACUUUUUGUGGGACUUGUUCUCCACUCUUACCAUUUCACUUUUUGUGGGAUCCAUUCUCCACUUAUCAAAUACAUAACAAACUUUUAUUAAAACCCAUGUCAUCCUCUCUUAGGAAGAUGUUUGGGGGACAAAUGGAGUAUUAAGUUUGUUCAAAUUCUUUAAAUUUGACGGAUAUGGCAUUUAAGUAUCAUCUCAUAUGCACCUAAUAAGACCAGAUAAUCAUAUGAAGCUCUAAAGACUGCAUAUGACAUUUGAACGUCAAAAUUUUGAAAACCAUAUUCUUUGGAGUUUGAAAUACCACAUCUGAAUUUUAAGCAUCAUCUUGUAUGGAGUUUGAAGAUUAUAACUUACUUGUGAGUAUCAUUUUGUCUAGAAUUUGUGAAACUAUAAUUAAGUUAUGAGAAUAAUCUCGUUUGGAGCUUGACAUGUCAUCUCUGACUUUUGAGCAUCCUCUCGUGUGGAACUUGAAAAAUCACAACUUAGUUUUGAGCAUCAUCUUGUCUGAAACUUAAAAUGUCAUAACUGAGUUUUGAGCAUUAUCUUGUCUGAAGUUUGAAAUACCAUUACUGACUUGUGAGCAUCAUAUCGUCUAGAGUUUGAGAUAUCAUAAUUGAGUCUUGGUAAUGUCGCCUCUUACUUAUGAGCAUCAUCCCUAAAACUUGAAAGACGAAAAAUUGAGUUAUGAGCAUCAUCUCGUCUCAAACUUUAUACAACAUCGUCAAAUUUGAAAUCAUAUUCAAUCAUAUAUAUAGUUAAUUAUUAAGUGAAUACAUCUAUAUAUAAACGUAUUAUAUAUAUACAUUUGUGAGUAUGAUGUGAUAAACUUAAACUAAUACUCCCUCCGUCCACCAAAAAUAUGCCACAAUUUCCUUUUUCGUCCGUCCACAAAAAAUAUGCCACUUCCAUUUUUAGUAGUAGGGUCCACACAACUCCACUCACAUUUAAAGUGGGACCCUUACUCCACUACCAACUUUACUCACAUUUUCUUAAAACCCGUGCCGAAAGCAAAGUGGCAUGUUUUUCGUGGACGGAGGGAGUAGUAUAUAAUAAAAUAAAAUACAAAUAUAAAUCUUUUUUUAGAUAUGGGAAUUGAUUAAAAAUUUAUAUAAAAAAAGAAUGAAUGGAAAUUGAGGAAAAUUAAAAUAGAGUGAUUAUACGGCACCACGUAGGAUAGGAUUUAUUGGGCUAGAAUAAAAACACUCUUAAAUGUAUAAAAUAUAAACGUUUCUUAAUGUACGAAUUUUAUGUAGAACACGAUAUAGGGGAGAGAGAGAGAGAUUGGGCAUAGGCAUGUAUUUUAUUUAUUUAUAACAUUUAGUUGAAGAAUAUAUUUUCUAAAAAAUGAAUUGACAUUUGAUUGAUUGAUUUUUGUGGAUUAAUUUAUUGGUAUACUUUAUUUAAGUUUUAGUCACACUUGGAACAAUCUCAAUUAAGUGGGUAUAAGGAUUCCUAUUCUGGAUGCUCAUUUUAUUAAGUUAAUUUUUUGGGUAAAAAAAGAUGGAUUGUGAGGCAUAUGAGUUCUUGUUGGUCAUUGAGUUUAUAUAUAUAAAAAAAUUGGUAUGAGGUUAAGAGGGAUUUCAGCGUUUGAAAACAGACGAAUGGACUCGAAGUGCUAAUGUGUUUUAAUUUGGCUGGAAAAUUAGAAUGCCGUGAGUUAUAUAAUGGUUCCGGUUAUGUAGGAUUUAUAAUUAAAUGAAUAUGUUGGAUUUAUCUAAUAGUUUUACGAUUAUUUAAUAGUAUAGAAUUUAUCUAUAAAUUUAUAUGAUUAUUUCAUAGUUUUUAAAUGUAAAAAUUGAUUAGAAGUGUAUAAAUAAAUACGAAUGAAUGAGAAUUGAGGAAAAUUAGAAUGGAGAUGUAGUUAUAUAAUGAUUCUGAUAAUCAAAUGGAUAUGCAUGAUUUAUAAUUAAAUGGAUAUGUUGGAUUUAUCUAACAGUUUUAUACGAUUAUUUAAUAGUACAUACUUUAUCUAAUAGUUUUAUACGAUUAUUUAAUAGUAUAGAAUUUAUCUAUAAAUUUAUAUGAUUAUUUAAUAAUUUUUAAAUGUAAAAAUUGAUUAAAAAUGUAUAAAUAAAUAAUGAAUGAAUGAAAAUUGAGGAAAAUUAGAAUGAAGUGAUUAUACGAUGCCACGUAGGAUAGGAUUGAUUUUGCUAUAAUGUAAAAAAAAUUGAUUAUAAAUUUAUAAAUAAAUAAGAAUGAAUGAAAAAUGAGAAAAAUUAAAAUGAAGUGAUUAUACGAUGCCACGUAGGAUAAGAUAUAUUUUGCUAUUAUAUAUAGAUGAACUUUAACUAAAUUCUAAUUUUGCAUAUUAACAUUAGUAUAGCAUAUUCAUAUUAAGCAACCCAGUUUUCAAUUUAUUGGAUUCUAAACAACCAAGCAACAAAAAUCGCAAUUCAAGAACAGAAAUAAAAGCUUAAAUCUCCAUAAAUUACAAACAAAGGUUCACGGGCAAAAUCUUACCAAAAUAACUCAAUAUGGAACUAAGCAAGUCUAGAAUAUGGCCACCGCGCCAAUGUACAAAAGAAAUAUACACAUUUAUUUAAAAAAAGGUGAUUAAAGCGAAGCAAGGUUGCAGAGAAAUGAAUGCAAAUAAUUAAAGCGAAACACUUGGGACAUGGAACAACAAGACUGUAUUUGAAGGUAUGAAAAUCAAAGAUACUUUGCGGAGGAAAUUCAACAGCAACAAUCCAUUUUGUGUGAUUGAACAUUUGAAGAGACCUUAAAUGUUUGCUUCUAUCUUCUCCAAAAGUGAUCUUAAGCUCGUAAGGAUUUAGUUCAACUUCACUUCUGAAAUGGAUAGCUAAUUAAAUGUCGUAUUUUCAUAUUCGAGGAAGCUUCCCUUAGUAAGGUACUCCCUCCGUCCCACCGAGCUCGAGUCGUAUUCCUUUUCAGGCUGUCAUGCCGAGCUUGAGUCAUUUCAUUUUUUGGUAAAAAUUGGGCAAUUUAAAGCACAAAUUUACAAAACUAAUUACACCCCUUAUUACCUUAUCUCUCAUACUUUAUCACUUUCUUACAUUCUCUUUCCUACUUUAUCACUUUUAUACUACACACUUAAAACACUAAUCUACAACUUCUUAAUUUUCGUGCCCAAAAGAAACACCUCAAGCUCGGCGGGACGGAGUGAGUAUUAAAUUUUCCACUUUGAUACUCCAUACUCAGGACACCAAAUUUCAAACAUAGUUCUGUGUUGGACUUGUAUACUGUAAGCAAGAACGUUUUAUGCUUGUAUACAAUGAUUCCUGUGUUCACUACUUUAUCUCCUAUCAGAUUGUGUUCAUUAUUGCAUAUAUAUGUCCUUUAUCUCUAUAUAAGUUGAUUAUAUGGUGAUUAACGGAUCACAGAAGGUCAUAUAAUUGGAAUAAACUUAAGAGAUAUAAAUAGAUCACAGUCGAGAUGACUCUAGGACGAGUCGUUGGUCUAGGCUGCAGUAUAGAUGGAAAUAGUUUGUCUUGACUAUUUGUCUAUACUGGUACGUCAUAGCGUAUUGAUAGGAUCACAGUGAGAUGUAUUCUUCUAUCUGACAUAAGUGAAGAAUCAAGAUCUCGGUGACUUAAUAAAAUCUUAAUACUAAUAAGAUUUCAGAUAUAUAUGUUGAUUCAUGUAUUACUUUGAUUUACUAUGGGUGAGAGUUAUAUAUUAACUUGAGUACUAUGUAUCUUGGGUGAAAGCGGUCAAUAUAUGAUAUUUGGUUAUCUGUAUUAGUACCCGUAUCCAGUAUAGGAUAAUGACAUCCCCUUAAGGAGCUCAAUAAGGUUUAUUGCGUUAAACCCUGCAGGUUGAUUAAGUUCAGGCGCAAUAAUAAGGUUUGAGUGGUACUGUUUAAGGAUUACAAAGAGAUUAAUUAAUAUAAGCUGUCAGUUCUUUAAUUAAUUAAUAGAUGUCUGAUAUUUUAAAUACGGAGAUUUAAUAAGUCUAAAUACAAGCCCCGACAGCGGUAAUAAAGGGGUAAGUCAGUAUUGAUUCUCUAGUGGAAUGAAUUAAUACUUAUGAAUUAAUUAUGAUUUGGGCUGAUCAUAAGAAUUAAUUCAUUAGAGGCCCAUCUUUAUUCCUUGUAUCUGAUCCCUUGACUGGCCCAAAGUCUCUUGAGCUCAGGAAGGAGUAAGGGACACCUAUUACAGUUAUUGGGCCCCUAGGAGUCUAGGACUGUGUUUUGUCUUUAAAUACAACUAUCUGCUCUCAGAAUAAGACACACAAAAAUAGGGUUUUAUGGGCACCGUUUCUAUGGUGGUCGAAUUCUCCAAGGGAAUUCUCAUAGUUCAUUGUCCAUCCAAUGUUGGGAAUUGAGCGGGAUACAGUUCAGAAGGUCAGAACUGGAGUCAUUCGAUUCAGCCAUCGACAGCCUCUGCAUCCAAUUCACAAGUAAGUUAUUCUAACUCCAAUGUGCAGCACUUAAAUUCAUAGGAACAUGUUAGUAAUUAAUCGUUGUAUGGUGAAUUAAGAUAUCCAAGAAACGAUCUACGUAGGGCUAAAUCCUUCAUUCUGUUUCUACAUUAUGAAGUUUGCAGGUGUUAUAUUUUUCCCCAGGUGUGAUACCAUCAUCGUAAUUAAUUUGAUCCUGGAUGAUGAACCUGGAGGUCAACUCACCCAAGUAGAGCUCCGCGAUUUCGCUCAAAGUUUUGUCUUUGUCUCCAAUAUGUUCAUCUAGUAUGGAAAUCUAGAAUAGCUAUAAGAUCAUGUAUUUAGAGCCUGUGUUUUUUGUUCAUGUGCUGCAAAAUUAAAAUUUAGUAAAAGUUCGUGUAAUUAAAUGUAAUUACUCCUAAAUUGAUCAGGUAGGCGUCGCAAGCCUGCUUCCCUACAUUUCAGCCGAAAAAAAGGCCAACUAAAGCAGCUGUUGCAACUUAAUUUCCUUCAACAAUAUCUUCAAACUAAGCAAAUUUUUUUUGCUGAAUCAACGGUAACUAGGGGUGGUAAUUCGGUUUCGGUUAUUCGGUUAUAACCGUAACCGAACCAAAAUUUCGAUUAAUCGGUUAACCGAUAAUCGAAAUUUACCGAUUCAGUUCGAUUAUCGGUUAUUAGAUUUAAAAUAAACCGAUUAUUCGGUUUAACCGAUAAUCGAUCAGUUAAACCGAAUAACCGAUUAAUUAAUCGGUUAAAUUAUAAUUAAUAUAUAUAUUUAUUAUAUAUACUCUCAUCCCAAUUCUCAUCUCAAAUAUGAAACUAUAUCAUUCUGAAUUCGCAUAUUAAAAGAAGAAAACAAUCCCAUUCUAAUUAAAAGAAUAAGCCCACUCAGCAGCCCAUUUAGCAACUCUCUCUCUCUUCCAACAUAACCACCGACGAAGCCCUUCUUCAAUCUUCACUUUGUCUCUUUCGCCCACUUCUCCUCGGACAGCUGCUGCUUCACUCCCGACAUCAGCGCCCCCUUCUAGCCCCAACAUCGUUUGAGUUUGCCAAAUCUGACGUCGAGGAUGACAAAUCUGAAGAAAUCCGCGUCGCCGCCGACAACGCGGAUGAGAGGAUGUUGCUUACUGGCUUUUGGCGCCGACCACCGCCUCCUUGGACUCUCUUCCCUCUCUCAAUUUGAUCAUCGCCGAUUGAAAAUCUGCCAUGUUUUAAUCGGUUAAUUCGGUUAACCGAACUAAAAAUCGGUUCGAUUUUCGAUUACCUAUUUCAUGGUUAAUCGGUUUUGGUUAACCGAAAAAUUGAUUCGAUUAUAACCGAACCGGACCGAUUACCACCCCUAGGUAAAACCAUCUACAAUAAAGAUAGUAGUCGAAGAAUUUUGAGCUAAGAAUUACGUAUACCAAUCGUGAUUUUAAAUCCAUCAAUUCAAACCACACACUACCAUUAGUAUAGUACAUUCAUAUUAAGCCACCACGCCGCUGUACAAAAGAAAUACACAAAAACUUGGUACAAUUGGGUUGACCAGCACCCAGAAUAGUGUUAUUUAUAAGGUUUGGAUCAGGAUACGAGUUUGGGUUAGAGUGCAGAUCAGGGUCUAAGUGAAGAUGCAACUCAAUUGUACUAAAAAAUACCUCAACGAAAUAUACACAUCUAUCUAUAUUAAUAUAAAACGAGCCUUAGGCACAACAUGUGAAUUGUAUAUUUUACCCCUAUUAUAGAUAUUACACUAAAUCUAUUUGAUAUAUAUCUAUAGCUAUUGAUAAGGCUUAUAAAUAAAUAUAUAUAUAUCCAAUAAAUUAUAUUUAGUAGAAACAAUGAACUAAUGAAUUUUUAAAAAAAUUGUUGUAAGAAAUAAUAGAAUUCAAUAGAUCAAAUUGUUAAUAUAUGUAUAUAUAUAUAUAGGGGAGGGCUAUUCAGAAAACCCCUCUUAGACUUUAAUAUAGGAACUAAUCCUGACCAUAUAAAUAUAAUCUUGGACGGUUGGGAUCAAUUUCCUAUGGGGUGUUAAAUUUGUUUGUUUUGUACAUAUAAUUCAUACAAAAUUUUCGCAUGAGGGUAUAAUUGGGUAGUGUUAUUUUAUCUCUCCAUAUCUUCAUUAUACGUUUCUGAAUUUCCGAACUUCAAAAUUCACUCUCUAUGUAUCUUUAAUUCAAUCGGUCGCUCUGAAAUUGCUUGAAUAAACUUAAUUCAUCGAACCUCACUAGGUUAUGGCGAGAAUCAAAGGGAGCAAAAUGGUGAGUUCUUAGAUUCUCUUGUUGUUUGAAUGUGGGAUUUAAAACCAUGGGGUUAUUUUUAUUCAUGUUGAAUCGAAUAAAAAUGAUAUUAGUUGUUGAUUUAUGGAUGAAUCGCGGCGGGUAUGCAAGGGUUUUGAAUAUUGGAUUUUCAAAAUCGUGAACAGAAGCUUAAUUUUUUUUCAGAUUGAUGUAAUGAUUCAAUUUCAAUUUUUGGGUGAUGCGAAUGAAGGACAUACGCCUGAAUUUAAUUCGUACAGAUUUCUUUAAAAAGUUCUUGUGGUGGAUUCUAGAUUAAUGUUAGGUAAAUGAGAAGAACUCAAACUCAGUUAAUAAUUCGUACAUAUUGCUUAAUUUUUUUUGGUUGUUUGGAUGCAUUCGUCUGGGUUUUAAAGAAAAGACGGUGGUUAAUGAGUAGUAAAGAGCAAUCAUCUGCAUGUUGUUAAUAAUUCAUACAUAUGCGGANGCUAUGAUCUGAUAAUUCGUACACAAAUUUUUGAAUUUCUGUUUCGUUAGGAUGAAUUGUAUGAAUUAUAAGAAACAACUGAAUCUUUUGCGUUGGGAUGAAUCUAUAUGGAGACGUUUAUGGGUGAAUCGCCUUCAUUGUGGACGUGUGGUUUGACGCAAAAGUUAAAGAAACAACUUAAUCUUUUUGCGUUAGGAUGAAUCUGUAUGAAUUAUAAAAAACAGUUGAAUUUCUAUUUCCGUUAGGAUGAAUUUGUAUGGAGACGUUUAUGGGUGAAUCACCUUCAUUGUGGACAUGUGGUUUGGCGCCAAAGUUAAAGAAACAGCUGAAUCUUUUGCAGGUUAGAUAUUGUGCAUCGCUUAUUGGGUGGGACAAAAACAUUAUUAAAGAUGCAGUUGUAGUGAGUGCUAAUACCAGUUUUGAAUCUUUUGAUACAUAUUUUGGAGAUGCAAGUGUGAACAUCGACGCCAAGCUGCUUGGAUGAGUUCUCUAUUUAUUUGUGUGUUCAAUGGCAGACACUAAAUUUGGGUUUGGUUUAAGAUAUUAGACAUCUAAUGGAUACUAUGUUGGCGUGUUUCGUCCGAUUUAAUGAGUUUUAUUGUGAGACUAUAAAUAUAGUUUUAUUCUGUCUUUAAACUUCUUGAAUUGUGGAGGAUAUUUAUUGACUGUUAUUAUGAGAUCAAAAUUUGAUUCAAAUCAUUUGGUGUUCUACAUGUAUCAUUUAAAAUGUUGGAGUUACGUGUACGAUUGAUUUAUUGUUAUAAGUAUUUUGUUCUUAACUGGUGCGUUAUCAAUAAAUCAAUUACCAGGUGAUGGGUCACCAUUUUAUUAUUGUUCUAAGUAAAUAUGUGAUGUAUUUAUGAUGUAUCGUGUAUGGCAUACUUUGUUGUGAGGGUGCAAAUUAGUUGAUUCGUAUAUUAUUCAUAAAUAAGUUACCAGCGGCGAAUAAUUCGUUUAUUAUAACACGAUAAUUCAAACACAAUAGUCAAAUUAUUCAUACAUAGUAUAUGUAUAAUUCAUUAUAUUGAAAAAUAUACUUAACACAACAUAUGGAUGUAAUGCUAUUCCCCGUGGCGCAUACUAAUUGAUUCCUUCCCUUUGGCAAUAAAAGUAGCAAUAAAUCACUUGGCCAUAUUUUCCAUUUUUUGCACUGCCUUUGCGAACAUCGAAACCAGACGAAUAUCCUGUUGGAUUUGUAUACUGUAAAGCAAGAACGUUUUAUGCUUGUAUACAAUAUUUUCUGUUACCACUAUCUAAUCUCCUAUCUGAUUGUGCUCAUGAUUGCACAUGUAUGUCCCUUAUCUCUUUAUAAGUACAUUAUAUAGUGUUGUAGAUCACAGAAGAUCAUAUAAUUGGAAUAACCUUAAGAGAUAUAAAUUAAUCACAGCCGAGAUGACUUAGGCGAGUCAUGGUUUAGGCUGCGGUAUAGAUGGAAGUAGUUUGUCUUGACUACUUGUCUAUACUGGUACGCAUAACGUACUGAUAGGACCACAGUGAGAUGUAUUCUUCUAUCUGACUUAAGUGAAGAAUCAAAGAUCUCGGUGACUUAAUAUAAUCUUAAUACUAAUAAGAUUCAGAUAUAUAUGUUGGCUCGUAUAUCACUUUGACUUACUAUGGGUGAGAGUUAUAUAGUAACUUGAGUACUCUGUAUCUUGGGUGAUAGCGGUCAAUAUAUGAUAUUUGGUUAUCUGUAUUAGUACUCGUAUCCGGUAUAGGAUAAUGACAUCCCCUUAAGGAGCUCAAUAAGGUUUAUUGCGUUAAACCCUGCAGGUUGAUUAAGUUCAGGCGCAAUAAUAAGGUUUGAGUGGUACUGCUUAAGGAAUUAUUAAGAGAUUAAUUAAUUUAAGCUGUCAGAGCUCUAAUUAAUUAAUGGAUGUCGGAUAUUUUAAAUACGGAGAUUUAAUAAGUCUAAAUACAAGCCCCGACUCAUCACCGGCAAUAAAGGGGUAAGUCAGUAUUGGUUCUCUAGUGGAAUGAACUAAUAUUUAUAAAUUAAUUAUGGUCUGGGCUGACCAUGGAGAAUUAAUUUAUUUGAGGCUCAUCUUUAUUCCUUGUAUCUGGUCCCUGGACUGGCCCAAAGUCUCCUUGCCCUAGUAGGGGAGAUUUUCGCCUAGCACAGAGAGUGGCGCCUCACACUUAUUUUAUUUUUAAAUACAGCUGUCUUCUCUUAGGAAUACACACUAAAAUUAGGGUUUUUUGAGUAUAGCAGAGCGGCGCCAGCGUGGGAGGCAGAAUUCUCUCUUGGGACUUUCAUAGCUCGUUGUCCAUCCAACGGUGAAUGCUGAGCGGGAUACAGUUUAGAAGGUCAGAGCUGGAGUCGUUCGAUUCAGUCAUUGACAGCCUUUGCAUACAGUUUACAAGUAAGUAAUUCUAACUCCAACGUGCAACAAUUAAUUUCAUAGGANUAUAAUAUUCACCUUAUGUGAGUUAUAUAGUUAUAUUUUAUAGUAUAUAACUAAGAUUAUUGUUCUACAAUAAAUUAUAGUAUCUAACUUAUAAUAACUUUAUUAUAUAUGUAUAUAUAUAUAUAUAGGGUGUGGUUCUAGAGAGAACUACAUUAUUUGUGAGAACGGGAGAACCAUCAAAUCUAAUGCAUUCACUGUAAAAAUUAAUAGCAUUCGCUGUUAAAAUUAAUGCACUCAAAAAAUAAAAAAAAAAUUAGCUCCCUUCAAGAUUGAACCCCAGGAUCUGCAUUCAUCAACAAGAUGAUACAUCCACCGUAGAUCUUGAUAAUCGAAUGGCUGAAAAUGGUUCUCCGUUCUUUUUUUAUUUAUGGUUUUUUUUCUUGAACAUAUACAUAUAUAUAUAUAUAUAUAUAUAGGGGUGGGCUACCGUGAGAGCACAUCUUAAAAUAAGAAAUAAGAGCAAUUUUUUAAUGUAUGAAUUUUAUGUAGAACAUGUAUAUAUACCUGGUUAGUAUCAUGUGAGAACUAAGAACUAUCUUAGACCCUAAAUUAUUAUUAAUCAAACGGCUUAGAUUAGUAGUUAGGCGUUAAUAUUGUAAUUACAAUUUAAUUAGGAAUCAGUCGAUUUAUAUGAAUAAAGGUACUUGUGGUAUUUAAAAUAAAUGUAAAAAUUGUGUGAAAUGAAAAGAUUUGGAGAAUCCAUAAAUUACCGCGUUCACUAAUCUUGAGAAAUGGAAAAGAAUUGGUUGGGCAUUAUCACCGCCAUUUUGUAGCCUAUCAACUCUUCAUUAGUACGUGUCCUAUUUCAUGAGUAUUUUGUUAUCCCAAUUUUUUUUGUUAUGUAUCAAUAUAGAUUUAUCAUUGAUAUGUCACGGACACGUAUUGUAUGUUCAUUAUCUCUAAUAAUAAAAAGCCAAAUUCAUAAAUAUCAUGGAUAUGUUCAUAGUGAUCAUUGAUAUGUUUACGGGCACGUAUUGUAUGUUCAUUAUUUUUUUUCGUGUAUUGCCCCUGUUGAUUCAUGUUGUUCACAUUAUUCAGUAUUUAUGAACAUAAACAUAUAUCAGAUAAUGAGAGAUUAAUUAUGAAUUAAAUAAUGAAAUUUCAUUAUUGCACAUGACAAAAAACGGUACCUAAUUUAAAGAAAUAUUGUAUUUUUGAUAGUAUCAUUAUUUAUGAUAAUAAAAAAUCACAACAAAUAUUCAGAGAAAUAAUAAAAAUCAAAGCAAUAAUCAUAGUAUGUUCAUGCACUCUCAUCCAAGCAAAACAAAGCUUGCGUUGAACAUAGUAUCAUGCACAAGUGCGAUAAUGCUUCGAUGCACAACUCAUAACAUCUUCCCUCGCUUCAUUGUAGUCGCUAUUGAUAAUUUUAGCGCAACGCACAUGUGUCUGGUUCUUUUCAACAAUGGCAGAUGCGUAACUCAUCCCCGCAGAGAGUGGCGCAGUUGGGCCCACCUAAAUGAGCAAACAUGAACAUUUUUCAUUUUGAAACCAACAUAUUAAAAAUCCCCCACAAACACAAACAACGCAUUAAUCACAUGAAUAAUACCAGAUCAAAUAUGAUUCAUAACCCUUGAACAAUAUAACAAAAGUCAUGAAUAAAUCAGAACACACAUGAACAUAAAUAAACUCAUGAACAAGAUUCAUCAAUUAUGAACAAGAUAGCAAAAUUCGUGAACAAAGAUCAUGAAUAACUCCUCACACACAUGAAUAACAUCUCCAUAACAUGCAUUCAUCUAUAUGAACAAGAUAUUCAAAUUGUUGAACAACGUGGAUACGACAUGAAUAUAUGCUUAAUUUUGUGGUAUAACUCCAUCAACUCUUCAAUUCAAUAAUAUCCUCAGAGUUACACCUAAAAGAAAAACACAAAUAAACAACUCAAUUCAUAUGAGUAAGACACCAUCCAGACAUGCCUUUAUAUUAUAACUUAUGAACAAUAGAUAUAGAAGUCGUGAGCAAAGCAUAUGAAUAAUGACUCAGAAUCAUGAAUAACAUCUUUUUUAGGGAGAAAAAAUCCAACACAUACAUUAUCAAAAGUCAAAUGGAAAGCUUUGAAUGAAUUGUGUUUAAGUGAUGAAUCCCCUUCCCCUUAAGUGAUGAGUAAUACUACUACUACUAACAACAUAAGUAGGACACUUGAAAUUGAGAUAGCUCUCUCUCGCUAUCUUUUUUUUUUAUCCUUUUCAAAUAAAAAAAAUAAUAUAAUAUGAAGUAUAAAUUUAUCAUUUAAAAUAGGGAUCACAUUUUCUAUCUUAUUUAAUUUGAAUAAUAAAAUAUUUAUUAAAUCCUUAAGAUGGUAUAAAAUUCUUUGCCCGAAAAAUUAUGCCAUAUCUACUCGAAUCUUUUUAUUAUGAUAAAAUAAACGAGGUAUAAGAUAAUAUUUGAAAGCAAACAAACCUUAAGAAAAAAUGAAAGUACCAAACUCUAGCUAAUUGAAAUCAACCAAUUAAACCAUAAUCUAAUCUAAUAAAGUUGAAAAGCUGAACCAACAAUCCCAAUUUGAGCAGUUUGUGAUGAGGAAUAUCAUAUAGCCUAUCGUCAGUCUGCCUCAAGUUCUUCUUCAUGAAAUUAUACGCCACAAUCCUCUUGAAAACCCCAGCGCGUGCCGCCCCUUUCCUGGAAAAACACUUACAUUAUCUCCUCUGACGAUCAACGUCGUCCCUUUCUAGUUGGUGUUGUAUCGCACAACGCAACGGAACACUCAGAGCUCCUUAGGUUGUACAUAAUAGGAAUUUGAAGGAGACGAGGACAUGGGCAGGAUGUUGGAGUAGAAGAAGGUCCUUAAAAUAAUGAUACACCCUAAUUGGAUUGAAUAAACCCUAAUUCAUAAUUACAAAAUUAAACUAAAGCAUAUAAAAUUGAAAUUGGAGAAAAAAUAAACAUAAAAAUUUAAAACGAUAUAUAUAUUGAAUCUUAAAUGCAGGUGCGGGCGAUUCAAGCAAAGUGACGCCGACGCGUUGGUAUGAGAAUGGUGGCUAGUAAUUUGAAGGCCAUUUUCUGAACAAGGCUAUAGAAAAUUAAGGGUACGGUGAUACUUGACAAGUUUUCACGGACACUUUGACAAGUCAUAAAAUGUUCAAUAAUUGUAAUUAAAAGCAAUAGUUUGUUCAUGGAAACUCCAAGUGGAUGUUCACUAGAAAACCUAAUUCUCUGGCCAUCAAAUAAUCAAUUAUUGACGUUUCAUAAAUAUAAGCUGAUUAACUGAGUUGUUAUAAGCUAAGUCAUUUCCCUGGCCUCUAACAAUUUGUUGGAGUUUUAAUGGGACUUCCUUCUGCAACAGUAAGAGUAUUUGUGCCCUCAAAAAAUAGAUAUUUGGACCAAGAGUCUCGACGCAAACCACCAAAUUCACUUAAUUCCCAUUUGUGUAUAAAUCCUACAUAUUAUUUUUUUUUAAAUUUUUUUUUUUCAUUUUUCUCUUCAGUUUUAGUUUGUUCUGAAUUGCUUUCACUUUACUAUAUAUGUUAAUUAGAUUAAUUAUAUCACUAAUGCCAUGUCUCCAUAUUUAUUCCAUAAUAAAAAACAAAUAGUUUGGUUUUACAAAUAUACACAACCCAACCUACAUAUCUGUAGAUUAGGCGUUACACGUGAGCCCCGUCCCAAUGAAACUUCCAUACAACUCUUCGAUCCACUCACAGACAGAUCUUAUUUCACUCAUGUUUCAUUAUUAAAUUUAUUAUUACCUCGGUUCCAAUAAUAAAAACACACUUUUUUUGGGCACGAAAAUUAAGGAGAGUUAGAUAAUUAGAUAAUAAAGUGUCGUGGCCCACUUGAUUAGUGUAUUUAAUUAAAUGUGUUUAGUGGACCACUUUCUUUUAUGUUUAUUUUUAAAAUUUAAAUUCAAACGGAAAAACUCCUCCUCUGACGACACACUGCCGGAAGACUCCUCGGCUUCCUGCAUGUCUCCUCCACUCAUCUCAAACAGAAAAAUAGGACAACAGAGGCAACAAGUCGAAUGGUUCGAAAUCCGCCGAAUCGGGGAUGAAUUCGUCAUUCAAAUAGGCUGACCAUCUCAAUUUAUCACUCAUGGCAACAAAAUACUUAGGGUUCCAGAGGAGGGCGACAGAGAUUUAGGGAGAGAAGAGGAGAGACGCAGAGAUCUAGGGUUUCAGAGGAGGACGACGUAGGAGGAGGGGAGGGUUAGGAGGGAAGGCCUCAGGUGGAAUGGGUAAAAUAAUUAAGGUUAGGGUAUUUAUACUUAGAUUAGGUGUGUGAUUAAUUAAAAGUUCAUUAAACUUUAAUUUUAGCUAAAAAUAGAAAUGUGUCUACAAUAUUGAGAUAACCCAAUAAGGAAAGUGUGUCUUAAAUAAUGGGACGGAAGGAGUAAUAAAUAAGAAGUAUUUAUCAUAAAAUAAGUAAUUAAUGUUAUAAUAUAUAUAAAUAUAUAUGAAAUUUAAUUAAUAUUAUCUAUUACUAAAAAUUGAUCAAGCUUACAAAAAUUAUACACCUUAUUUAUAAAAUAAUAAACCCUUAAUAAUUAAUUAGUACUUUAAAAAUUUAAAAUUAAAUGUUGAAUUAUAAACCCUAUUCAAAUAUAAAACACGAUCCUUGUCAAUAUAGCGAAGAGAGUUUGAGAUAAGUGUGAGGACAAUAAUACUAAGGACUAUUCGGGGUUGCAUGUUUAAGAGUGAUCCAGGGACGAUAACCUUGCAUGUAAUCAACUGUUUGUAUGUCACGAAAGUGGGUAUAGACUAGCUUUGAGAUUGUCUUAGAAAAAUUUAUCUUGACUUAUUGAAUUAAAUUUGCUGGAUUAUCUGAAUCUCUUAAAACUUUUGUCUUGAGAUAUAUUGGAAAUUAAAGAAAAAAGACAAUGAUAUAAAAAGUAGGACAUCUGAAAUUUGGAUAUAUAGCGAGGAUUUCAAGUUAUUUGUAGCUAGGUCCAGCCACACAAAUUAAAAUGAUAAUCUGAAACCCUAGCUACCUAAUUGAAAUCAAGUAAUUAAUUAAACCAUAGUCCCUUGCAAUCUAGUAAAGUAGUUCUAAAGCUCAACCACCAUUCCCACUUUGAGCAUUUUCUGAUGAGGAAUAUCAUAGUACCUAUCGUCGGUCUGCCUCAAGUUCUUCUGCAUGAAAUUAUACGCAUAAUUCACAACGAUCCUCUUGAAAAUCCCAGCACCCUUGACCGCGACGAUGUCUUCUUCCCCGAGGAGGUGCACCACCCCGCUUCGCCACGCCUCGUCGACGUCCCUGACGCCGCUAGCGUUUCUUUCCUGGAUGAACUCCUUGAGCUUGUGGUACAACAUCUCCUCUAACGACGUCGUGCCUUCCUCGUUGGUGUUGUCCUUGUAGCCGAAGCGCACGACGCAGCGGAAGACUCGGAGGUCCUGAGGUGGUACCUCCCGGAAGAGGAACCUCUCAUCCAGAGGGACCUUGUUGAUGGGCAGGAAUUUGAAGGAGACGAAGACGAGGACGGAGUGGAUGGCGGGCAGGUUGUUGACGUAGUGGUUGAAGAUGGGCGGGAUGCCGUGGACGAGGUCGGAGUAGAAGUAGGCUAGGCCCUUGAGGCGGUGGGAGUUGGUGGUGCCUUGGAUGAUCUCUUUGAGGUCCUCCGGGGCGAUUUUGUUGUCGAGUUCGUAGUAAUACUUCUUUCUAUACACGUGGUUCCACACGUACAUGACGGCCAUGAGCGCGAGGGCGAAGGUGAGGGGGAGGUAGCCUCCUGGGUGAACUUGGAGAGCACCGAGCUGAGGUAGAAUAGCUCAAUCGAUAGGAAGAGCAAGGCGUAGCAGGUGACGAGCAUGAAGUUUGUCUUCCAGAUGAGGAUCAUGAUGAGGAUGAGGAACAAGGAUGUGAGAGUCAUGACGAACACCACCACGAUGCCGUAGGCGUUGCCCAUGUCAGCAGAAGUCCUGAAGCCUAGGGUGAGGAGAACACAGGCAACCAUGAGGAGGUAGUUCAUCUCCGGGAUGUACACCUGGCCGGGGUGCUUGGUGCUCGUGUGGACCACCUUCACACGUGGGAAGCACCCCAGGGAGAGGGACUGCUGGAUGAUGGAGAAGGUCCCCGAGAUGAGGGCUUGGCUGCUAUGAUCGCCGCCAGCACGCCACCACAAACUGCGGCCAGUAGAGUUUCUCAGGGAUGGACGCGAAGAAGACGUCCGACACUAAGUCGUUGUGCUCGCGGAGAAACGAGACCUGCCCCAAAUACGCACAUAUGAUGGAGGGGUACACCACACCGCACAUGCUCAUCUGUAUGGCUCUCACGGAGAAGUGGCCCACAUCAGCAAAUAAGGCCUCGCAUCCUGUUAUGCACAGGACCACCCCUCCCAAGGAAAGCCACGCCUCCUUUUUGUUCCUUCUGAAGUAGUCUAUUAUAUACUUGGGGUUCAGCGCUCUCAUCACCCAAGGGUCGUAAACGAUGAAGUUGUAUAGCCCUAUUCCCGCAAUCAAACCAAACCAAAUCAAUAGCACAGGAGCAAAACAGUAGCCAACUUUGUCAGUUCCAUAUUUUUGAAACAUGAACAGGAAUAUGAGGAUGCCAACUGAUACCCACACGAUCACAUCUGUCCCAAAACCAACCAAAUCUAUUUAUUCAUGGAGAUUAAAAUUAAAAUCAAUGUUUUUUUUGUUAGUGGCGUACCAUCUGUGAUAUGGGACGUGGCUUUCUUCAAACCAGAUACUGCAGAUGUUACUAUUGGAAAAUCAUGAUGAAAGAAAGGAAAAUUAAUAAAAUAUAUGUGGAUUAUAAAAUUUUGGGGGGGGGGAAGGUAUAUACGUACCUGAGAUACAUGGAGUGAUAAUACCAUCUCCAAUAACCAUUGAAGUACCAAGCAUAGUGGAAAAUAACAAAACGUACUUAGCAAACAAGCUAUUCUCUAAUGUUGUUUUAACAUUAGAAGCUCUUUUCGAACGACGAGCAUUAGCCGGUUCAUAAGCGGAGACAUCACGAUCUUCCGAUUCUUGAUUCGGAAUAAAUCCAACUUUAGCAUAUCGACAUAUUAGCGAAUACAUAGCAAAUGUCCCACCUGAAAAUUUAAUUCAAGAAAAAGCAUUAGUUGGAUUUCUUUAGAGCUAAUGAUAAAUUAAAUAAUAUACCUUCGCCAUUGUCGUUGGCUCUCAACACGAUGAAGACGUACUUAAUCAAAGCGAUUAGGGUUAUGGUGUAGAAGAUCAAGGAGAGAGCUCCAAGCAGAUCGUCGUUGUGGUUGAUUCCGGCGGGGAAUAUGGCCGGCAACGCGUACAACGGCGACGUCCCGAUGUCUCCGUACACUAUUCCGAUCGCUUGGAAAGUUAGCAGCAUCACCGUCUUCCACCCCUCACCAUCCUAACACCAAAAACUGUGGUCUGAGUGUUUAUGUUAAUGUACGCAUGGGUGGAGAGAGGUGGGAAAACCUUGGAACCGCCGCCAUCGCCGCCGCCGGCGAGGUGGUGGAGGGGGCUGUUGCGGACUCUGCCGGACUCGAUGUCGAGGGAGUCGAAGCGGCGAAGAUCCUUUUGCGACGAUGAUUUCUUUGCAUUAUCGGGCUGCGGCUGCGGAUCAGUAGCAACAGUCAUGUUUGGAGGUGGAUAUGAUGGAGUUAAUUUGGGGUGUGGAGUGGCGAGUUCUUACUUAUAGUUAAAUAGUGGAGAGAUAUAAGCAGGGAUUAACAGUUAUUAUGGUUGGAGGAGAGCAAACUUUGGAACCGGUUGGCGGAGAAGACUCACAAUAUAUACUCUCUCUCUCUCUCUCACACACACAGAAUGCGUGUGCCGUGUUUGAAUUUGGAGAUGAAAAGAAUUCAAACAUAAUACAUGGAAAACAUGUAUGAUGCGUUUCUAGGAAUUUUGGUAGAUGAGAAAAUAUAAAGUACUAUCAUGUUUCUCGGAUCUAUCAGAAUGGCCUUUUUCUUAUUUUCAUUUUUAUUAUGUUCUAUUGAAUUUUGUAAUACUAAUAGAAUGGUACGUGUACCGAUGUCAAUGUAGCUCGUCUCGAACAAAAGCAAAAAGAGAUUGUUAGUUACGAUUAAAAAAAUUUAGUUGGAAAAAAUUAAUUCGAUUAAAUCGAAUUGAAAAUUAAAUAAGUUGACCAGUUUAACCAUGGGUUAAUUUCGAUUAUAAUAUGAAACUUUAAAACCUUUUCACAAGAUAGAGAAUUAUAUAAAAAGUAGAGAUAUUUCCAACAUAACAUAGGCAUUUAGUAAUUAGUGGAAUUCGUGUUUAGAGACAGAGACAAAGCAAUACUGAAAUUAUUUUUUCUUGAAAUCUUAAUCCAAGUUUGUAAGUCCAAUUACAAUUCCCAAAACGGUUAGGGCUCAUAGACAUCUUUAUUGGCCCAAAAUUCCGUCUAAUUGGGUCUAAAUAUGUAAAUGGGCCUAAGGUCCAAGUUAAAAGACAAUAAUGCCCCCAAAUUAAAUUAAUAUUCCUCCUGCUCCUAGAAAGUCGUGUAACGUUUCUCUCACGAUUGAACGAGUUAUUCUCCGUCAUGUAAAAACGUAUACUAGUAAAAUUGAUUAAACUCAGCCGUAAUUUGCAAAUAUCUUCAAAAUAAUUCAAACACUCUUAAUCACUAGAUUAACAAGCUUUGAUCUCUGCGAAGAUUUCUCCACCAAUUGGCUUCAAUCACAGUACGUUUUUAGCCGACAAAAAACUUUUAGUGUUGAACUCAAAUCUUGAUUUGGGUUUGAUUUAUAGUUCCCUUUUUACUGAUUGGGUGAUAAGAGUUUCAGCAUUAAGUCAAAUCCUUGAUUUUAAACUAGCAACUUCAGCUUGAAUUGGUUUUUAUCGUACUUAGUAAUUGAGCUGCCAGUUACUCAAUCUGUUUGAUGGAAGCGCUUCGUGAAAUUCGGCGAUGAGAUUGAGCUGUGGGAAGAGGGAAUAAUGGGGAAAGUUGUAGAUGGAUUUAUAUUGCCCUUAUUGCUUUUGAUAGGUAUGACUAUUCUCAAUUUUUAAUAUCUGACUGCUGUUGCUAUUUUGAAUAAAUUACUUAAUUAUUUAGUUACUUGUUUGAUUUCAUUCUGAAAGUUCUCAAGAUAUUAGCUUGUUUCUCUCUUCAAUUUGUAAUAUAGAAAGCAAGAUUGCUUAAAUUUAGUGUGCAGUGCACUUGAAGAGAAUGAGAAUCUGAAUGAGGCCAUUGAGUUCACUUGUGAAGUUUCUUACUUCGUUUAGCUUAGUUUGUUAAGCUAUGGAUUUUAAGAGGACUUUUUGUAUUUUGUAUUCGCAAGAUUUAUUUUUUUAGUUAUUUAUGUAUUUUCCUUCUCUGGAUCCUCUUAGGCCUUUUAUUCGUGCCUGGAUUUUGGCAAUUCUCUGUUGCAUUUGAUGCUAGUUCCAAUGCUAUCACAUUUGUAUUGUAGCUCCUCCGAAUUGUUAUGUGUUUAUGUAUUUCAAUGGUGUGGAACAUUUUUAUACUUUUUCUAUUGCUUCUUAUAAUUUUCUGUUAUUCUUGCAGCUGGGUUACUUAAUUGGAGUCUGAUUUCUUUCGUCAGUUUGGUGGCUUCUCUUAUUUUCCGAUUUACUUUCCCUAAAACAGGUACUGUAUUAUCUGUGAACUAGAAUUAGGCUACUGCACCAGGUCAUCUGUUCAGAUAUCAGCAUUUACCUGCUCACAUAUAGUUUGAUGGCAUGUUUCGUCAUUUUUACACAAAGAACAUAUUGGCAUAUAGUAUUUUCUUUAACUUUUCAAUUUCCUGAUUGUUGCGCUCCUCUUUUUACUUUUAAUCUCCUUUUUUCCCUUUUUGUUUCUCUGCGCAUUCAUCAGGAUUUCGAUAUGGAGGGAGAGUCUUGUCUUUGUGGUUUGUUUUCAUAUAUUCAGCACUUGUGAUUAUUUCACAAGUGAUUUUUUUAAUUUUAUGCGCGGUUCUGGAUUGGCGAUGGACUGUUGCUGAUGCUUGGUGGAUAAAGCUAAUUGGACUUAUGAAGUAGGAUAUUUCUUUUCCAUUGAAAGGCUACUUCUUCAUUAAUGAAUUGAUCUAGAUAUUGCAGUUUUUUUAUUAUAUAUAUGUUAUGCUAAAUAUAUAUUACCUGAAUGGUGUUCAACAUGUAUGCUCCUGCAGCAUUGAGUCCUGGAGAUCUCCCACAGUUAUGUACUUCCUAGUAGUACAGUUAUUAGUGGGACUAGUUGCUUUCAUUGAGAUCAACAGGAGCAGAUUCGGCCUUUUUGAAUCUCGAGAUUCAUGCUGGGGUCAUUUUUCUUCACUUGUUGAACACAUAGGUUUGUCAAAUUGACCAUCCUCCUAAUUAUAGCUAAUUAUUGAAACAUUCUUCUUCUUGUCUGUGUUGUUACUUGGAGAAUAUUUGCAUGAAUUAACUUAAAUUCUUAAAAGUUGCUGUGUACAUACUCACAAGUGGAGACAGAAGAAUCAGAAUUAAUAUCAAACUAGAUGUCUUCAAUAUUUCAAUGCUAAGAAUUGUUUUUGAUAAGAUAUUUGUUAUGUUGACACAAUAAUUCCUGCCAAAAAUUGUGAAUUAGAGAUCUCAUUGUGAUGUCAUAUCUUGCUGAUUAUCACUAUUUCCUCUCAAUGGAAGGUUACCGUCUUAGGUUGGUUUGCUGCUUACUGCUCCCAGCUGUGCAGUUAGCUUCAGGGAUCAGCAAUCCUUCUUGGCUUUCGUUGCCAUUUUUCAUUUGCAGUUGUGUUGGUCUUGUUGAUUGGUCUCUGACAAGCAACUUUUUAGGACUUUUCAGGUAGUUUAUCCUUUUUAGUAUUGCAUAAAAGUUAUUCUUUGAGGUUUAUGAAAGAAGAUUUUAUUUCUUUCAGAAAAUUUGAGGAACAGAUUCCGUUAGUGCUUAUAUUCUUAUACAUUGUGAAGGUGGUGGAAGCUGCUCUGGGUAUACGCUGGCUUCAACAUUGGACUACUUUAUGUUUAUCAGCUGCCUGUUGGGUUCGCACAGUCUUUUCUAGCGAUAGCUGACUCAAUUGGUCUAUACAAGGCUUCUUUCAGUUCUGACUGGCAAGAGAUAUGUUCUGGUAUUUCACUGAUGGUGUUUUACUACAUGGUAUGCAUUUAUUUAUGAUCUUUCACAGUCGACACAUAAUUUGUCGUGUUGCUUUUGUUACACUGAAGAUUCAUUCGUGGAUGUAUUAAUAUGUUUAAGCAGUUAGAGAAGUUAUUACUUGUAAUCAUCUUUGAUGUCUUUUACACUUAUCUUUAUAUAUCUUCUACUUCAGAUAGAUCUUCCUGAAGUCUCAGUGAAAAGUUAUACUUCCUGAUUAAUGAUAUGAUCAAAGUAUGAAAACCUAGUAUUCACAUUAACAAAAUUAAUAGGUUUUGUAGUGAAUCUUAUGUUGGGGUUAAGUACUGUAACAGACUCCUAAUGUAUAGAUAAAUUCUUAUGUUAUAUUUUUAGAAUCUGCUUCUCAGCCAUUUCAACUAAAAUGUGGCAUGUGUUUUUGUAGAACAAAUAGUUAAGGUUAUAUGCUUCAUUCUAAAGAAAGGUACAUGUUCAAUUUUACUUGCAGGAACUUCAUACAACUCACUCAAUUUCGUUGAAACCGGCCAACUUAGAUAAAUUUUAUUUCAUAACUGAGGAACUCUCUUUGGUUAUUCUGUAAACACUGAAUGAAAUAAAGAUGAGGACAUCAACACAAUCAUUGAUGCAUAAUAGUUCUUGGGAAGCCACAUAAUUCGUAAGUGCUUGUCAUGGAAGUUUCAUAUGUUUCUUCAUUCUUAUGACAUAACAUUGGUCUGAUGAAAAUAAGAUUAUAUGAGUAACUUAAGCCGCUUAAGGGCUUCACAUAGGUAAAUUUGAUUGAAUAUGAUUAUGAGGUUAUAAAGACUAUUUUGUAAGGGACUGAGGGACAUCAAGUGUUUCCAGUUUAAGUGAAAAAGGGGAAUGACAACAUGAUUGCUCAGAAUGAACUCACCCCCAAACUAUAAUCAUGAUUUAUGCUCUGAAGUUCCAGUGAAAUUUGAGGUUCUGUAAAUUAGUGGAUCACUACAUUGUAGCCAUGUUUUUGAUAAAUGUGAUUACAAGACUAUAGACGUGACAAAAGAGGUGUAUUGUUUUCUACCUUUGCUUCAGUAGCCCAAAAUAACAAUCUAUAAUAUAUGUAAGUUGGCACAUGCAUGACAUAUACGUGUAUGCAUAUGUUGUUAAAAUGUUGAAGGGCACUUUUGUUCCCUCUCCUUCGUUUGCCAGCCCUCCACUCUCCCUGUCGUUUUGGGUUUGUUGAACUUAUGUGUAUCCACUGUUUUUCAUAAUGGCAAGAAAAAACUUAAAUUAGGGGAAACAGUAAGAACCAUACAAUAGAGUGUUCCAUAUUCGUCGAACUAUAAGAUUAGCAUGUAUGGUGUGAAGAAUUUGGUAUUCCCUGUCAUGGAUGAACUGUUAUUUGAUGGUUGAUUUGAUCAUUUGAAUAAUUAAUAUCUAAUCUUUAAGUACAUGUGCAGCUCUCUUUUGUAAAACAUGAUUUAGAAGACAUGGAAUUCAUGAUGUCCAUGAGAGAAGGCAGCUUGACUGAGCAACUUCUUCCCACGAGAAAUUCCUUUUUUGUUCGCCAGCUGAGGUAAAAUGCUUCUGUUAUUUGAGUUUUAUUUCCAUCUUUUCAAUCCAGGCAAAUUGCUUCGUGCAGCAACAGAACAUAGAUUUUCAUCCUUUGUGAAUAAUACGAAAGCUAGUGUUAUUUGGAUGGCAUUUGCUGAUUGAUUUGCUUUGUUCUCUAUAUUAAUUAACACUAAGUUAUUUUUGUAUUAACACUUCUAUUUAUAAAUUAGCAGUAAAUUAUAUAGACAUAUAGGGGAGAAGAAUAAAUUGCAUAUUCACAGCAAGAGAGUCUCCAUAUAUAUAUAGGGAGUAGAAAGCUAGGGUUACUCCUAGGUUAAAUCUAUUUCUAAAAUAACAAAAGAUAAGUAAGGAAAACUUAGAUAGAAAAAUAUUCUACAACAGAGGUUAAACUAGACAGAGGUGAUAUGGCAUCUUUGCUAACACCAGUUUUUACAUUAAUUCUUGUUAGUUUAUUAGUCUUAUUUUUAUAAUGUCAGAAGUAUAUGGUAUCUGUGCUUUUAAUUAUGUCUAGUAUUAAUUUAUAAGUUUAUAUAUUAUGUGCCCUGUUCACUAUCUUGUUAAAUCAUCUCUAUGAUUUUCAGGUCUGGUGUAAGGCAUACAAAUAUUUUAUUAAGGGGACCAAUAUUCAGGUUUUUUAGCAUCAACUGGUUCACUUAUGGUUUCCCGGUAUGCAGUCACAAACUUGAUUAUUUUCCUCUGCGGAUGUAUGUUUGAACUUAAAACUCAUGUGAGAUGGUGGAUAAGAUGACUUGAAUCAAUCUGAUUCAAAAGGAUCUUACUUGCAUCAGUAUCUCAAUUCAAACAUGAAUGAUGUUUUAUUCUAAACUUCUGAUAUGACAGGUAUCCUUGUUUGCCUUAUGACAGGUAUCCUUGUUUGCUCUUUCAUAUUGGAGCUUCAAUUUUGCAAGUAUAUGUGCAUUUGCGUUACUUGCAUAUGUUGGGUAUGUUUUGUAUGCUUUUCCAUCCUUGUUCUGGUUGCACCGGUUAAAUGGGCUGCUUCUAGUUUUCAUUCUCUUGUGGGCCGUAAGCACGUAUGUUUUUAAUGUGGCUUUUGCGUACGUGAACUGGAAACUCGGGAAGGUACCUCCUUAUCUUGAUCUUCGACGCCAGUUUUUAAGGUUGAGCUUGGGUGGAGUUUACUAAUAUUUUUCCUUGUUACUCAGGAUAUGGAGAUCUGGGAGAUGGUUGGUUUAUGGCAUUAUCCUAUACCUGGUUUUUUCCUUCUAGCACAGUUCUGUCUAGGGAUUCUUGUUGCUCUUGGUAAUCUUGUUAACAGCUCGGUAUUUCUUUUCCUAUCAAAUGAGGAGAGGCAACUCUCAGAUGAGAACAGGACCGAGGAAGGUACGAUCCAUACGGAUGCUUAUAUUAACACUAAUGAAGUGGCAUUACAUCCUUUCUAAAAUUUAACAUUGUGUAAUCAUUGCUUCUUAUGUCUUGAAGAUCUUGCUCUCAAUAAAUCCACUCGAUUGAGAUAUACAUCAGCACUGUUUAGAUGAUCACCACCUAUUUCAGUUCUAAUCACUUAAUUGCAUUGCUCAAUGUAAUCCUUGAUUUUUGACUGUUAAAGUGUUAAUCUUUUUAGCCAGGCUACUUAUAUGAAGCAGGAGGACUGCACUCAUUAUAAUUAUUCUUGGCUUCUCUCAUUUGCUGCUAGAAAAUAAAUUUUCUGGCUCAAUUUUCUAGCUGUGGUUAGGAGUGGUGUGUGUUUUCAUGUUUCCUUGGAUUCAAGCCUUCUGAAGUAGUACACAUUCUCAAAUCUCAACUAAAGAUGAUCGAAAUACUGUAUCAUUCACAUAAUGAUUGGUCAUUCACAACUUGCUUUAGAGUAGAUAAACUUAUGAUUUUAGUUCCUUAUUGUCCAUGGAUUUGGGAGUUUCAUUAGUGGUCUAUUGCUUCUUCAUGCUUAUAGAUUGUUUUCACCCAGUUGUGAAGCUGGUUUCAUGUUAUGCCUAACUGUCCAAUAUGCUUGCAGUGAAGGAAGAUGCCAAGGUCUUGAUUGUAGCCACAAUUGCCUGGGGACUUCGGAAAUGUUCUCGUCCUAUUAUGCUAUUACUCAUUUUCUUGAUAGCUGCAAGACCUGGUUUAGUUCAUGCUGUUUAUAGUACGUUGAAGUCUCCCCAAUAGUUUUUCUCUGUUCAGCUUUCUACUAUUUUACCUUUUUCCUUUUCUCUUCCUUAUAAUCCAGUGUAAGUGCAAAACAGCCAAGCCUUCAUGGAUGGAUGUUCAGUAUUCUGAUUAGUGUAAACUGUCUUUCCUUCCAGUAAUAUUCUUCUUUGCAUACCUUUUGAGCCAUCAAAUCAACAAAAGGAUGCGGAAGUGUCUUAUUCUUCUGUGUGAGGCUCACUUUGCUGCUCUAUACAUUCUUCAGCUUAGUCUUGUAUCCAGAAAAUUGGAACAGAAGGGCUCUAUCAGUCUGGAAGUGCUAUCAGAAUUAGGUGUGGGAUUUUGUUAGUCUUAAAUGUCUUACCUGUAUCAUUGCUAAAUUUCUCCUACAUUCUCUAUUAUUAAUCUUUGCUAAUUUGUUUGUGAAAUGUUUGUAGGUCUUGUACAAAAUGAUAGUACUUGGGAGUUCCUUGAAAUAGCUCUGCUUGCAUGCCUUUGUGCCAUUCAUAACCAUGGAUUUGAAAUGUUGUUCUCGUUCUCUGCAAUUGUUCAGCACACACCAUGUCCUCCCAUUGGAUUUGGCAUUCUGAAAGCUGGUUUAAACAAAUCUGUUCUUUUGUCAGUUUAUGCCACCUCAGAUCAUCGCAGCAAUAGUUCCCAUGGUACUGCAAUAUUUUCCAUAGAUUAUUGAUGUCUUUUGUCCAAUUCUUUUGCAGUUUAAACUAUACAUAUAUGCUUAAUUUAUCAUGUAUGCAUGCAAAUUGGUCUGUGUAACUUUUGGUUGAGCAAUUUCUUCAAGUCCCUAAAAAUCAUUCAUGCUUGAUAUCUGUGGUAAUUGUGUGCUACUUUCGUCCAUCUUUCAGAGAGAAGGGUGGCAUUGUAUCUCAGUGCAAUUGGGGAGAAGUUCUUAUCUAUAUAUCGAUCGUUUGGAACCUAUAUUGCUUUUCUCACCAUUCUUUUUGCGGUGUACCUUGUGAGACCUAAUUAUAUAUCAUUUGGUUACAUUUUUCUUCUCCUCAUCUGGAUCAUUGGAAGACAGCUUGUUGAGAGGACAAAACAGCGACUAUGGUUUCCACUCAAGGCAUAUGCAAUUGUUGUUUUCAUUUUCAUUUAUGUUUUAAGUAUUUUUCCCACUUUCGAGACAUGGAUGUCCAAAAAGGUUAAUCUGUAUGUCUGUUUUGGCUAUAAUACCGAAGCCUCUUUGCUAGAAAAUCUUUGGGAGUCUCUAGCAAUUGUAAUUGUGAUGCAACUUUAUAGCUAUGAGAGAAGGCAAAGCAAACACAUGAACUUGGAAGAUGCUGAUCCAUUGCAGUUUGGGAUUUUGGGGUUCAUUAAACGGUUCCUGAUCUGGCACAGUCAAAAGAUUUUGUUUGUGGCAUUGUUCUAUGCUUCAUUAUCUCCAAUAAGUGCAUUUGGUUUUUUGUAUAUUCUUGGUCUCAUCCUAUCAUCUACUUUGCCUAAAGCAUCUAGGAUCCCAUCCAAAUCAUUCUUAAUUUAUACGGGAUUUCUGGUUUCAACUGAGUAUCUUUUCCAGAUGUGGGGUAAAUUGGCUCAAAUGUUUCCAGGACAAAAACACAACAAUUUGUCUAUUUUCCUGGGUUUACAGGUGUAUACACCUAGUUUUGAGGGCCUAGAAGCAGGUUUGAGGCCAAAAGUGCUGGUAAUUGCUGCAUGUAUCCUUCAGUAUAAUGUUUUUCACUGGUUGGAAAGAAUGUCUAGUUCUCUUCCGAAUGCGGCAGAUCAGAAGAACCUGUCCUUUAUUUGUUUCCGAGGAAGAUGUUUCUUCUGCUGUUUUAACUCCCAGCGAGGAUAAUGAGACAUCAUCAGAAUCUGGUGACCCCUCCCGUCGAAGGAUAAGCAGCAAUUCAUGGUCAUCUUUUCAACAUGUAAAUGAUCAACCAUCUCAAGAUUUGUCUCGAGGCUUUCACGAAAAUGGAAGCAAUAGAAAAUUCUCUUUUGGUUAUAUCUGGGGAAGCAUAAAGGACAGUCACAAGUGGAAUAAGAAAAGAGUUGUUACCUUGAGGCAGGAGAGGUUUGAAAUGCAGAAGACAAUGCUAAAAGUUUAUUUGAAGUUUUGGAUUGAAAACAUGUUCAACCUCUUUGGGCUUGAGAUCAACAUGUUAGCCCUACUACUUGCCAGUUUUGCUCUAUUAAAUGCCAUGUCUAUGUUCUAUAUUGCGUCUCUUGCUACUUGUGUUCUGUUGGCACGUCCUAUCAUACAUAAGCUGUGGCCAAUAUUUGUCAUUCUUUUUGCUAUCAUUCUUCUUGCUGAAUAUUUUGCAAUGUGGAGCACUGUGAUGCCUUUCAGUCAACAUGUACAGACCCCAACUGACGCGCGUUGUCAUGGUUGCUGGAAAGACUCGAGUAUAUACUUCCAGUACUGUGAAAUGUGUUGGCUGGGUAUGACUUUCUCCCAUUUUGUUGUUUUGCUACUCUUGAAACAGUGAAUCUUAUAUAUAUGUAUGUAUAGGGUUGGAUCCAGUGAGUAAAGUUCAUGUACUUAUACACCAAUCACCCUAUAUAUAUAUAUAUAUAUAUAGGNNNNNNNNNNNNNNNNNNNNNNNNNNNNNNNNNNNNNNNNNNNNNNNNNNNNNNNNNNNNNNNNNNNNNNNNNNNNNNNNNNNNNNNNNNNNNNNNNNNNNNNNNNNNNNNNNNNNNNNNNNNNNNNNNNNNNNNNNNNNNNNNNNNNNNNNNNNNNNNNNNNNNNNNNNNNNNNNNNNNNNNNNNNNNNNNNNNNNNNNNNNNNNNNNNNNNNNNNNNNNNNNNNNNNNNNNNNNNNNNNNNNNNNNNNNNNNNNNNNNNNNNNNNNNNNNNNNNNNNNNNNNNNNNNNNNNNNNNNNCUUUUGUUUGCACUAUGCAUAUAUUCUGACAAUCAUAUGUUCUAAGAGUAUUUUAAAUGCCUUUUCAGUUCUUAGUUUUGGGCUAGGUUCCUAGCAAAUAAAUACGUUUAUAGUUUUAUGGUCAAGAGCUAGUGUAUAUGAUGCUCAUCAGAAGAUUCAGAACUAUUUUCUAAAAAAAGUCUAUCGACAAGUGUUAGGAACGAUAAUUAAUACUCAGCACUUCUUUGCUGCUGUGUGAAGCAGUGAUAGGACACAUAUAUAUGAAGCUAGAGUCUAGAGAUGGGUGACAUUCAUCCCCUGUUAUAAAUCAUUCAAUCUGUGUCCUGGUAUGUUUAAGGAUUUUCUUAAAGCUUCUAAAUUGGCUCUUCACUCAUGUUAAAACCGUACUGCCUCACUGUAAAGCACCAUUAGAGCUGGAUCAUUCUUGAUCUUGAGCAGUAUCUAGUCAUGAUUUUGAUGUAGUCUGUUAAAUUUUAUCUGCCUGAUUUAUUAUUUAUUUAAUCUUUGCAGGGAUUAUAGUUGAUGAUCCCCGGAUGCUGAUCAGUUAUUAUAUGGUAUUUAUGCUGGCAUGUUUUAAAUUGCGAGCAGACCGUGCCUCCAGUUUUUCAUGGUCAUCUACGUAUCACCAGAUGGUUUCUCAACGUAAAAAUGCUUCUUUAUGGCGAGAUAUCUCAUUUGAAACAAAAGGCAUGUGGACUAUUAUGGAUUAUUUGAGGGUUUACUGCUAUUGUCACCUAUUGGAUCUAGUACUUACUCUUAUAUUAAUCACGGGAACCUUGGAGUAUGAUAUUCUGCACCUUGGAUACCUUGGUUUUGCUCUAAUUUUCUUUCGCAUGAGGCUUACCAUAUUAAAGAAGAAAAAUAAGAUCUUCAAGUACUUGCGUGUGUACAAUUUUGCCGUUAUUGUUCUCUCUCUGGCGUAUCAAUCUCCUUUCAUUGGUGACUUUACUGCAGGGAAGUGUGAAACUGUUGAUUACAUCUAUGAGGUGAUUGGAUUUUAUAAAUAUGAUUAUGGAUUUCGGAUCACCUCGAGAUCUGCUCUGGUUGAAAUCAUCAUUUUUGUUCUGGUAUCUUGUCAGUCGUAUAUGUUUUCUUCCUCAGAAUUUGAUUAUGUAUUUCGAUAUCUUGAGGCUGAACAAAUUGGUGCAAUUGUUCGAGAGCAAGAGAAGAAAGCUACUUGGAAGACUGAACAGUUGCAGCACAUUCGAGAAUCUGAGGAGAAAAAACGUCAGCGUAACUUGCAAGUGGAGAAGAUGAAAGCUGAAAUGCUCAACCUACAAAUUCAGCUCCACAGUAUGAAUUCUCCUACUGCUCGUGCUGAUUCUUCACCUGCUAAUGAAGGAUUGAGAAAAAGGAAGAAUGCUUCACUUAAUCUACAAGACACUGGCAAUGCUGAGAAACAGGAUGGUGAUACCAAUGCUGAUUUAGUUUUCCCGUCUCAUCUGUAUGAAUCUCCAAGGAGCUUAAGAGCAGAAAAUCCAUUUGCUGCAGAUUUUACAAAACCACAAAGGUAUGCAUCUUUCAGUGAGAUAACUGAACUUAGGGAUGAGGCUAGUGAUAAUGCUGGUAAUGAUUCAGAUGAAGCGAAGAAAGGUAAACCCCAGUCGAAGGAAAACCAUUUAGCUUCUGCUGUACAACUAAUAGGUGAUGGCGUUUCUCAGGUUCAAUCAAUUGGCAAUCAGGCAGUUAGCAGUCUCGUCAGCUUUUUGAACAUCUCACCUGAAGACUCAGAUUCAAAUGAACCCCCAUCUUUGCAAGAUGGACUUUCUACUGAUGAAAGAAGCACAAAUAAUAAACAGACACACUUGAGUAGUUCAUCUUCUCUGCUGUCUGACAAGAGUAGAACUUCAGGAUUUGCGAGUUGGCAGAUUGGCCGAAUAAUUCGUCAUAUAUGGUCUCAGAUGCGGUCAAACAAUGAUGUAGUGUGCUACUGUUGUUUUAUUCUUGUUUUUAUAUGGAACUUCAGUUUGCUUUCCAUGGUUUACUUGGCGGCUCUGUUUCUAUAUGCUCUCUGUGUGAAUACUGGACCUAGUUACAUCUUCUGGGUUAUAAUGCUAAUCUAUACCGAAAUUUAUAUUUUGGUGCAGUAUUUAUACCAAAUAAUGAUACAGCAUUGUGGUUUCAACAUCCAGUCAGAUCUUCUCCGUCAAUUGGGGUUUCCUACAAAAAAGAUAACAUCAGCAUUUGUUAUCAGUUUGCUACCUUUGUUUUUGCUGUAUCUAUUUACUCUAAUACAGAGCUCUAUUACUGCGAAGGAUGGUGAAUGGUUUUCAGUAGGUUUUGGUAAUGGUAAAGGGCGGCCACUAAACCAAGAGCGUGGCCAAACAGGAUCUAGCUGGAGUGAGAAAGCAAAGAAGUAUCUCCAAUUAAUCAAACGAUUGGUUAUAACAGUGGUGAGUAACUGUUGUAGAUAUUGGAAAUCACUGACGCAAGAAGCAGAAUCUCCUCCAUACUUUAUUCAAUUGUCCAUGGAUGUCAAAGUAUGGCCAGAGGAUGGGAUUCAGCCCGAGAGGAUUGAGUCUGGAAUAAAUCGGCUGCUGCAGCUUGUCCAUGAUGAAAACUGCAAGAGUGAAAUGCCUAAUCCUUGUCCUUGUGCCAGCAAGGUUCAAAUUCGUAGCAUUGAAAAAAGUUCUGAAAAUCUGAGUGUGGCCCUGGCUGUUUUUGAGGUGGUUUAUGUCUCUUCGUUAACUGACUGUAGUCCAGCUGAAAAAUUCAAAUCUCUUACUCCAGCCUCCGACAUAGCAAAGGAGAUACUUAGGGCACAGGAGAAGGAACUUAAUUAUGAAGUUGGAUUCCCUUAUCGUAUAAUCUCAGUAAUUGGAGGUGGCAGGAGAGAAAUUGAUCUUUAUGCCUAUGUUUUUGGUGCUGACUUGACAGUCUUCUUUCUGGUUGCCAUAUUCUACCAGUCAGUUAUAAAAAAUAAAAGUGAAUUUCUGGAGUACUAUCAGCUCGAGGACCAAUUUCCGAAAGAAUAUGUAUUUAUGCUAAUGGUAAGGAGAGUGUUUCUGAAUGGGAUUUUUUUUUUGUAGGUACAAUUGCUAUAUCUAAAUGAAUAUUUUAAUUCAUGUGGCUAUACUUAAUUCAAUGGUGCACGUACACAUGCCUUAUAAUAUAUGCUUGGUCUUCUUUUAACAUGCUUGAAUUUUCUUCUUGUGCAGAUAAUCUUCUUCUUGAUUGUUGUUGAUCGCGUCAUAUACCUCUGUUCAUUUGCAACUGGAAAAGUCAUCUUUUACAUUUUCAGCAUCUUUCUUUUCACUUAUGCUGUCACUGAGUAUGCUUGGGAUAUGGAUACUUCACGACAAAGUACUGCUGGGUUGGCCAUUCGAGCAAUGUAUCUUACCAAAGCAGUUUCUCUUGUAUUACAAGCCAUGCAAAUUCGAUAUGGUGUUCCUCAUCAAAGCACAUUGUAUCGCCAAUUUCUAACCAGUGAAGUUUCUCGUGUUAACUAUCUGGGGUAUAAGCUGUAUCGGGUUUUACCUUUUCUGUAUGAGCUGCGUUGCGUCCUUGACUGGUCAUGCACAGCAACAUCCUUGACAAUGUAUGACUGGCUGAAGGUGAGUCUUCAAGUUUUCUGAUCAGGUUGGUAUUUCUACCAACCAUGCACGCAAAACUGUCAUUCUUAAUUCCUGUAGUUUUGUUUUCAAACUAAGUUGCACUCUUUAACAAUAACUCAGUAAGAAAUUAAGAAAGUUUUGGUGAUUAAACUGGAUGCUAAUUUUAAGUUUUCUGAUGCCCUAAUGUGUACUUUGAUUAGUAGACUAAUCACUUUCCUGCAUAAAGUCUCAAGACCGUGAAAUUGUAGUACACAGGAGAAAGAUAUCUAUUUAGCUAAGUGCAGAGUCGUCUUUGUGAAUGUUGGUUUUAUUUUAUGAACCUAAGAGAAAAGAAGUUACACAAUUUGGACAAUCAGAGUGGUACAUAAUUCGUCAUUGCAAGGCUUAUUGCAGAACCGAUAAAGGAUACUGAGUCCGACUUAUUAUCAAAUUUAUCUUACUUAGAGUCUUAUUCAUACUUAAGUAUACUGAGUCCGUUGUUAUUUAUUUUAGUGGGAACUAUAUGCAGUUCUGGAAGACUCCAUUUCCUGAAUAUAACGUUCAAGUAACCCAUCACUGCUUGAAUUUUUGGUUACUUAGGUGAACUUUAGGUCUGUUUGAAACUUAAGAAUAUUCAACAAUAUGAUACAUUGAUUAAACCUACUAUUCAGUUUGUUUCUCCAUCUCAGCUAUAUUGAUAAAGUUUAAAAUAGAUAGUGAUGUAUCUGUAUUCUCUUUCAGUUGGAGGACAUAAAUGCAAGCUUGUACCUUGUCAAAUGUGAUAAUGUUCUGAACAGAGCUUCUCAUAAACAAGGAGAGAAGCAGACAAAGAUGACGAAGCUUUGCAACGGCAUAUGUCUCUUCUUCAUUCUAAUUUGUGUUAUUUGGGCUCCAAUGCUGGUAAGAAAUUUCUGACACGACUCUGCUCUGUGAUAUGUACUGGCACUCCUAUUAGUACACAUGUUAAAAUCAAGUAGCGAUGAAGAAAAUGACCUAUCUCUUUGUGUUAGUUUAUAUGGUAUAAUGGAUGUUUAUCUGACCUUUUAAUUAACCGCAUGAUGAAUAUUGAAGCCUAUGAGCUCGGACUCUCCAAAAAUUGGAGAGUACCCGUGUCCGUCUGGUGCAACAUGGGUACGGAGGCGAAGAGAAGAAGAAGCAGGGUUCAGCUUUUAAGUGACUUAUGGGUUUUUGUUUUAAUUAAAAUAAGUUAAAUCGGUGCAAUUUUUCUCGUGUCCACAUAUCCUAAAUCUGGAAAACUUAAAGAGUCGGGAUCACAUCCCUGCACCUGUGUCCGACACCCGCAGCACCCAAGUCCGAGCAACGUAGAUUGAAACAAUUCCUUGCACUAUACUUUAUAAUGUUUCCCAAUUUUCCUUUCUGAAUACAAACUGUAGCAAUGCUUUACAUUAUUGCAAGUUAGAUAAUAAGAGAGUAAUCUGACAUGUUUUUCAGCUUCUAGUUUCUAGGCCAUCUAAUCGUUUGACCUCAAAAUGUAGAUGUUAUAUGUGCUAGUUUCCAUUUUCAUCUCUGAAGACACUUGUAUUACAUGGUGAAAAUAAGUGUUCACAUAUUGGUCUUUCUCUGUAUAGGGUUCCUGUGAGUCUUCUGCUAGUACUGAGUCGUUUAUCUUUAUUACUUGUUGAGAUGAAAGUUAGUUCGAGAAUGAUAUGUAAAGUUUUAUAGGUUAGUAUAGGAUUUGUCAACUGAUAUUGCCAAAUCCUAGAAAUCGUGGUCCUAUAUUGAAGCAAGCAAUCUCAUGUAUGUAAUAUCCACACUUUGUUCUACAGAUGUACAGUAGUGGUAAUCCAACGAACAUAGCGAAUCCAAUCAAUGCUGCCAGUUUUCAGUUUGAGAUCAAGACAACUGGUGGCAGAUUGAUCUUGUACCAGACAACUCUUUGUGAAAUAAUUCCAUGGGAGAAAGUGAAGUCCAGUGACGUUGAUCCACAAAAUUAUUUGGACUCAUACAAUGCGAAUGACAUUCAGCUUAUUUGCUGCCAAGCUGAUGCAAGCAGUCUAUGGCUUGUCCCUGGUGUGGUUAAGAAGCAGUUUAUUCCGUCUCUGUACGUUGAUAUGGAAAUGAAAUUUUCUUGGAUACUUACAAGGGACCGACCGAAAGGCAAGGAAAAGGUGAAAUAUGACAAGGGUGUGGAUCCAUCAAGUCUUCCUAGAGCAUCAGAAGUUGAGGGGGUUCUGAAUGGUUCCUGGAGCAGCUUUAGGGUUUACAAUAUCUAUCCAAGAAAUUUCCGUGUUACCGGUUCUGGAGAAAUUAGACCUGUUGAUCAAGUGGUAUGCUUCGAAACAAGAGCUUGUUUAUAUUAGGUAAUGAGUUUGCUGAAGUUUGUAUGUUGUGAAGCAGAGUCUUGUGAAUGCGGAGCUUGUGUUGCACCAUGAGACGUAUGAUUGGUGGUCGUUCCAAGAUAUGAAUCCUCCAAAUGCGGAUGGGUGUAGAGGAUUGUGGGGGCCUAUGGCUGUGGUGGUGUCGGAGGAGACCCCGCGUAAGUAUUUACAAGGUAUAAGUUGCGAUUGAUUGUAUGGUUUAAUAAUGGAAGUGUAUGAUGGCAGAGGGAAUCCUGGGGGAGACGCUGAGCAAAUUCAGCAUAUGGGGGCUGUACAUCACAUUCGUCCUUGCUGUUGGGCGCUUUAUUAGAAUGCAGUGUUCUGACCUACGAAUGAGGAUACCCUAUGAGAAUCUGCCUUCAUGCGACAGGUAUAUGAUAUGAUAUCAUCCAUCAUUGUCUCAUCAAAUUUCAUCUCAUCUAAUGAUUGGAUUUGGAUAGGCUGAUUGCCAUCUGUGAGGAUAUAUACGCUGCAAGAGCAGAAGGUGAACUCCGAGUUGAAGAGGUACUCUACUGGACACUCGUCAAAAUUUACAGAUCGCCUCAUAUGCUGCUCGAGUAUACCAACCCCGACUAGUCCACUCCACUCAUUCUAACUUACUAACUUCUAACCUAAACAACUUUAAUUUUCAUAUCAUUCAAAUCCCAUCAAUUAUCCCAAAUCUAUGAAAUUCUUAUCUACUGUAUCUCCUGCCCUACAAAAAUUGCCAUAUUUAACUAUAAAAGACCUCCUUUUCAUUAUUGGAAAUCAAAAAAUAAAAUAUUUUCUUCAUCUCACCUCUUUCUUCUCUUUAAUUCAUCUCUCUCAGCUCUCACUCAUUCUCGUACAACCAGACUUUCUAAUUGCAAUUCCCUAUUUUCUUUCAUUAUCUUUAAUACGACGAAUCCAUUUUUUUAUCAUCUAUAUAUAUAUAUAUAAGGAAGAGUUCAAUGGAGACCACUAAAUAUUCAAAGAACAGAGAUCAAAUUUAGUCGUUGAUCUUAUCUAAUCUAAUGGUCAACAUUUAUUCAUGUCAUGUUUAACAAAUUUUUUUGUCAAAUAUAUACAGGGUCGAAUUCCACAACCCCCCAAAAAUUAAUAUUUAUUCAUACCAUGCUCAAUGGAUUUGAUGAACGUUCAUCAAAUCCUCAAAUCCAUUGAACAUAUAGAAAUUUGUUGAAUAUAAUUAAAAUUAUCAUGUGGUGUAGUGGCUGGUGCACGCCUUUGUCCUCUCAAAGGUCAAGGGUUCAAAACCUUUAUCCCCCACUUUUUUUUUCCUUUUUCAUUUUCUUUUGCAUCUUUUUUUUUGUUCCUUUUAUUUGUUCCUUUCUUUUGCUUAUUUUCAGUUUUUUGUUUUUUGCUUUUUUUCUUCUUUUGAUUAGCUCCUUUAAUUUUUUAUUUUCAACACUUUUUUAACUUUUUCCUAUUUUUUUCAUUCUUUUUUCAUAUCAAUGGUUACUUUUACUUAAAACCAUAAUUACUUAACCAAAUAAUUAUAAUCAUAAAUUUUCGUGAGUAAAAUUAACAAUUUUGGUGAAAAAAUUAAUAAUUUUGAAAUAUUACAUUUCUUCUUAUGAAUAAUAACUUUUUUUAUUAAGAUUAUAGUUACUUUUAAUAAGUAUAAAAUUUACUUUUUUAGCACUAAUGUAGACUUACGUUAAUAUAAGUAUUUACCUUCAUUCAAACUAAACUCUAAACCUUGAAAACUAAACCCUAAAUCCUGAAUACUAAAUCUUGAACCCUAAUAUGAAUAUUUACUUUUCAUAAGCAUAAGAUAUACAUUUGUUCGCACAAAUGAAUACUUAUGUUAAUAUAAGUAUUUACUUUCAUUCAAUAUAAGUAUUACAUUUUCUAGACGUAAUUUUUACUUUUAUUGAAAAUAAGUAUUACUUUUUCUAUUAUUGAUUAAAAAGUGCAAAAUUCUAAGAAAUUUGAAUUUUAAUUUUAAAAAAUCAAUUUUACAUUUCAUAUUACAAAUACUCCGUAUUUACUUUCAAUCAGUAUAAGAUAUACAUUUGUUGGCACACGUGUAUAUUCAUAUUAAUAUAAGGAUUUAAUUUGAUUUAAUACAAAAUAUUAUAUUUUCUAAACCCUAAACCAUGAAAACUAAACUCUAAACACUUGAUUGAUUGGUUUUAGAAUAUCAGAUAAAUGACUAUUUCCAUACAUUAUAAGUAUUACAUUUUCUGACGUAAUGUUUACUUUUAUUUAGAAUAAGUAGUACUUCUUAUAUUAUUAAUUAAAAUUGCAAAAUACUAAGAAAUUUUAAAUUUAAUUUAAUAAAACAAAAUUUUAAAAAUUUACAUUUGUGCAUAUCAAUAAUUACUUUUUAUUAUGAUAAUAUUUACUUCAUCAAAUAAAUAAAAAUACAAAUUCUCAUUCAUAAAAGUAAUAAUUAUUGUGAACAAAUGUGAUAAUUUUAAAAUAUUACAUUUAUGCAUAUCAAUAAUUACGUUUUAUCAUGAUAAUAUUUAUUUCAUCAAAUAAAUAAAAAUACAAUUUCUCAUUCAUAAAAGUAAUAAUUAUUGUGAACAAAUGUAAUUAUUUUAAAACAUUACUUUUUUCAUAUUAAUAAUUACUUUAUAUUACAAUAAUAAUUAUUACUUGACAAAAUGAAUAUAAUCAAGAUAUACAGCAGCAACUCUCCUUCAUUCAUUCCACACGAAUUAUUUCUGCAAAACCUAACUAAGACAAUUUUUGCAAAAACCAAACUGAGACAAGUGCAUUCAUAGGGUUCAUCUUUCUCACAAAUCUAGCAGUCCAUCAAUUUUGAAGUCUCACACUACACCCCGAACACUAAAGUCUAAACACCAAAUCCUAGACAUUUUUGUGGAGAGUUCAAAUUUGAUGGUCUAUGACAUAUGUCAAAAUGGCCACACCAGUAAUUAAGAUUUCAAUCCACUAAUCUGAAAUGCUACUAUAGUAAAAGGAAAAUAAAUUAUAAAUGUUGGAGAGAAUGUCUUUACAGAUCGGAUGUCAGCGAUUUUUGAAACAAAUACUAUAAUAAUUAUUAAAUAUUACAUUUCUUAUAUGAAUAAUUACUUUUUUGUAACAAUAAUUAUUUGAUCGAGUAAGUACCUUGACAAAAUUGAUUACUAUAUCUCUAAACAAACUCAACAAAUUUAAAUUUAAUAUUAAGGGCCGUCAACUUUUUUCUUUCUUAAUAAAAAAUUUAAAUAUGAUAACUUUUUUAUUUUUUUUAUUAAUGAUGUAUUUUUUUCUAUUCGUACUAUUAUCUUUUAUAAGUAUUAAAUUAAGUUUGGAUAUUUUACGUGUCUAUUAAUAUUUCAAAAAUAAUAUGUUGAGCUAUGGUUUGUCAAGGACCAAUAUGCUUAAUAACAACUAUUUUUAUCCCUAAAAUUGUGAAGAUCUUUGAUGAAAUUAUAGCUUCACUGAAUAAUUUUUUGGUCCAGAGUUUGAAUCUCAUAGGUUGAAUUUAAUUAAGCAUUUUCACAGCAAAUUCAUAAUUCACUGAAUAAAUUUUUGGUCCAAAAUAAUUUAAUUUGUAUAUAAACUCCCUAUUUAAGUGAUAUUAACCUAUAUAUAGACACAUGUUAUACUUUUUAUAUGAAUUACUUAGGUUAUAUUAAAAUCUUGGAUCACUUUGCAAAUAAUAUAUUUGGUAUAAAAUUUUGAUUUUAUUAGUUUAUAUUAAUAUUAUAAAACAUAUAUAUGCACAUCUUACAUGAUGAGGAUGAAACUGGGCACUUGAAUAUAUUCAGAUCUAACUUCAUGGAAAAUACGAAACAUGAGAUAAAGCCGCAUGUCUCAGGCUAAAAGGCAAUCAAAAUAAAAGUGGGAAGCGAAAGAUUUAUAUUCUAACUACAGAAAUGCAGAUUUUAAAACAUGUGGCAAUCAAUGAUUUGCACUUAUCAAAUAUUAUUAUUUGGGCUUCGAAACCAGAUUAAAUGAGCCUUAGUAUUGUAUCUCAAUAAUAGACUAUAAAUAGACCCCCUAAGAUUAAAGGUAAACAAGUCCUUCCAUGAGAGGAAAUCAAAUAAACAAAUGCUAUAUUAUUUUUCACAUUUUUUACAAACUUAAUUUCUUUGUUCUUAGCUCGAUUUUCUUCACUUUUUCAAAAAUUUGCCCGUUGAAUCUAAUACCCAACUCAAUAUUACGCGAGUCUAAAAUUAUAUUCGUCGCGCAUAGCGCAGGAGGUACACUAGUAUAUAUUAAAAGAGAAGUAAAUAUAAUUAAAUUCAAUUAGAAGGAUGUAAUUAGAAAUUAAGGAAAUUUUUUUAAAACUGAUGAGUUCUAUAAUUAUACCCAUUCAUUCACGAAGGGAAAUAAAAGAAGAAGAAUGGUUAUUUUGGGGGUAAAGGUUUCAAACCCUGUACCUCUUAUGGCAUAAGGAAAAGUAGGUAACUAUUACCACUGCACUAGCUCACACUUUUAUGUUCCCUUGUUAAAAAUUGGCUUAUAUAUUAACGCGCGCGGGUCGGGUCAGACCGGGUCAAGCCCGCCUCAUACAAUGAAGUUGACCUCAUGCAAGAUUUUGCGUAUGUAUAUAUAUAUAUAGUGAAACCAGGGGGCUUAGCCCACUGGCCAUCGGGUCCUCACUUAAAUGAAGUGACCCGGGUUCGAUCCCUCUUGGGAGCGAAUUGGAGAUUGGAGAUAUAAGGUGGAUUU
rnacentral:lncRNA from 1 species